GCCGGCGGCGGCGCCUGCGGACCUAACUAGCUCCAGGUUAGGCCGGGCUUUGCGGGAAAGCAGCGGACUUGAAAAUACUGGAAAUCUGUCCGGAUCCAAAUUAUUUUGCAAGCCAGAUGAGUAACCAGAGGGCAUGAAAGGUUGAGAACAUUUGACUUCCCUGCAAACCUUGGUAUAGAUCACUUCCUUUUCUGUAGGAAAGGAAAGGCACCAAAGAGCACAAUGAGUACAAGACGGGGUUUCUACGUGUUAGCCAGGAUGGUCUCGAUCUUCUGACCUUGUGAUACGCCCGCCUCAGCCUCCCAAAGUGCUGGGAUUACAGGCGUGUGCCACCACACCUGGCCAGAACUUUUGAAAAGAGGCAAAGGCAGAGGAGAAUAAAGGAAGGAGGAAGUAACUUGUGGAAUGCUGAAAAAGAGAAAGCGUCGUGGUGGAGCAAUAAAUUCUAGACAAGCCCAGAAGCGAACUCGGGAAGCAACCUCCACCCCCG
rnacentral:sRNA from 1 species